UACGUAGGGUGCGAGCGUUGUCCGGAAUUAUUGGGCGUAAAGGGCUCGUAGGCGGUUUGUCACGUCGGGAGUGAAAACUCGGGGCUUAACCCCGAGCCUGCUUCCGAUACGGGCUGACUAGAGGUAUGCAGGGGAGAACGGAAUCCCUGGUGUAGCGGUGAAAUGCGCAGAUAUCAGGAGGAACACCGGUGGCGAAGGCGGUUCUCUGGGCAUUACCUGACGCUGAGGAGCGAAAGUGUGGGGAGCGAACAGG
rnacentral:rRNA from 1 species